rnacentral:rRNA from 1 species
UGAUGGAAAGUUGAAAAGAACUUUGAAGAGAGGGUUCAAGAGUACGUGAAACCGCCACGGGAAAAAACGGAUGGGACCUCGAAGGUCACGUCGUGGGGAUUCAGCCGAACAGGUCGAGCCGCCAGCUGAAGCCGAUCGCAAGGCGGCUCAGUGGCGCGGCUUCGACCUUGUACGGUGCACUUCUCCGCGGCGCAACGCUGCGACCGAUUGGCCGGCCGCCAAUGGGUGGUGUCGGAGUCUGUCGGACGGACUCGUCCCCCGGCAGACGACGCCUCUGUGCGGCGGCCCGGCCGAUCGCCUACGAAAAGAGAGGGCGCUCGCGCUUUUGGCGCGCCAGUUUCGAACUCUGGCCGCAGUGCUCCGCUCUGCAGCGAGUAGAUCGGCGACCCAUCCGACCCGUCUUGAAACACGGACCAAGGAGUCUAACAUGUGCGCAAGCGAUUGGGCGCACCGAGACCCAAACGCGCAACGAAAGUGAAGGCCUGGAAUGCCUGGCCAAGGGGCGAUCCUGUCCGUCAGCGGGCGGGCGCAGCCCCGGGACGUGCUGUCGCCUCGUCGUCGGCUCGUACCCAGAGCGUACACGUUGGGACCCGAAAGAUGGUGAACUAUGCCUGGCCAGGACGAAGUCAGAGGAAACUCUGAUGGAGGUCCGUAGCGAUUUUGACGUGCAAAUCAAUCGUCCGAGCUGGGUAUAGGGGCGAAAGACUAAUCGAACCAUCUAGUAGCUGGAUCCAUCCGAAGUUUCCCUCAGGAUAGCUGGCGCUCGCANGACCGAGUUUCAUCCGGUAAAGCGAAUGAUUAGAGGCCUUGGGGCCGAAACGANCUCAACCUAUUCUCAAACUUUAAAUGGGUGAGAAGUCGGGCUUGCUCGACUGAAGCACCGACCNUNGAAUCNAGAGUGCCAAGUGGGCCACUUUUGGUAAGCAGAACUGGCGCUGUGGGAUGAACCAAACGCAGAGUUAAGGUGCCCGAGAGAACGCUCAUCAGAUCCCAUGAAAGGUGUUGGUUGCUAUAGACAGCAGGACGGUGGCCAUGGAAGUCGGAA